GUGCCAGCCGCCGCGGUAAUACGGAGGAUGCAAGCGUUAUCCGGAAUGAUUGGGCGUAAAGCGUCCGCAGGUGGCUGUGUAAGUCUGCUGUCAAAGCGUCUGGCUUAACCAGAUAAAGGCAGUGGAAACUACACGGCUAGAGUGCGUUCGGGGCAGAGGGAAUUCCUGGUGUAGCGGUGAAAUGCGUAGAGAUCAGGAAGAACACCGGUGGCGAAGGCGCUCUGCUAGGCCGCAACUGACACUGAGGGACGAAAGCUAGGGGAGCGAAUGGGAUUAGAAACCCGAGUAGUCC
rnacentral:rRNA from 1 species